UGGGGAAUAUUGGACAAUGGGGGAAACCCUGAUGCAGCGACGCCGCGUGAGCGAAGAAGGUUUUCGAAUCGUAAAGCUCUGUCCUAUGAGAAGAUAAUGACGGUAUCAUAGGAGGAAGCCCCGGCUAAAUACGUGCCAGCAGCCGCGGUAAUACGUAUGGGGCGAGCGUUGUCCGGAAUUAUUGGGCGUAAAGGGUACGUAGGCGGUCUAUUAAGUCAGGUGUGAAAGCGUGAGGCUUAACCUCAUUAAGCACUUGAAACUGAUAGACUUGAGUGAAGGAGAGGAAAGUGGAAUUCCUAGUGUAGCGGUGAAAUGCGUAGAUAUUAGGAGGAAUACCGGUGGCGAAGGCGACUUUCUGGACUUUUACUGACGCUCAGGUACGAAAGCGUGGGGAGCAAACAGG
rnacentral:rRNA from 1 species